rnacentral:rRNA from 1 species
CCUACGGGAGGCAGCAGUGAGGAAUAUUGGUCAAUGGACGAGAGUCUGAACCAGCCAAGUAGCGUGAAGGAUGACUGCCCUAUGGGUUGUAAACUUCUUUUAUAUGGGAAUAAAAUGUUCCACGUGUGGGAUUUUGUAUGUACCAUAUGAAUAAGGAUCGGCUAACUCCGUGCCAGCAGCCGCGGUAAUACGGAGGAUCCGAGCGUUAUCCGGUGUUAUUGGGUUUAAAGGGAGCGUAGGUGGAUUGUUAAGUCAGUUGUGAAAGUUUGCGGCUCAACCGUAAAAUUGCAGUUGAAACUGGCAGUCUUGAGUACAGUAGAGGUGGGCGGAAUUCGUGGUGUAGCGGUGAAAUGCUUAGAUAUCACGAAGAACUCCGAUUGCGAAGGCAGUUCACUGGACUGCAACUGACACUGAGGCUCGAAAGUGUGGGUAUCAAACAGGAUUAGAUACCCCAGUAGUC